AUUGACCGCUGGCGGCAGGCCUAACACAUGCAAGUCGAGCGAGCGGCGGACGGGUGAGUAAUGUAUGGGGACUGCACGAUAGAGGGGGAUCACUCCUGGAAACGGUGGCUAAUACCGCCUACUAUCGGCUUACCCAUAUGGGAUUAGCUAAGAGGUGGGGUAAAGGCUCACCUAGGCGACGAUCUCUAGCUGGUCUGAGAGGAUGUUUAGCCACACUGGGACUGAGACAAGGCCCAGACUCCUACGGAGGCAGCAGUGGGGAAUAUUGCACAAUGGGCGCAAGCCUGAUGCAGCCAUGCCGCGUGUAUGAAGAAGGCCUUAGGGUUGUAAAGUACUUUCAGCGGGGAGGCGUUACCCGCAGAAGAAGCACCGGCUAACUUCGUGCCAGCAGCCGCGGUAAUAC
rnacentral:rRNA from 1 species